CUGGUAAGGAGUAGUAGCUUAGUCAUGCACUUGUGGAAGAACUAAACUCAUUAAAGUUUGAUUUUUUCUUUCUUUCUGAUAGUUGUAGAGUCCUGUGUCUAGACUAGUUUUGUCGUACCUUGACUAUUCCAUUGGAACCUGCCACCUCACACUAGUAUAGGUAUCUAAAACUCCUCUUACCAACUUUGAUGAAUAGGAAAAAAUACCUUCUAUUAGGAUCUAAAUAUGGUCUUCACUUUAUUGAGCAAAUUUUGAAAUUUCAUUUAUUUUAUGUGUUAGAUAAUGUUUAAGAUCUUCUCAGACAACAUGGAAGCAAAAGGCUCAUAGCUUGUUUUCGAGUAUCUUGAAAAUGGUGUCUUUUGGACAAUUUUUUAUAGUUGUUGAGCUGCGAAAACAUAAGCGUUGCUUCCAGUUCUUUAUGGUGCCUUCUUCUCCUCAUUCCUAGUGUAAGGUGUCAAUAUCUGCAUUUGUUGUUCAGCUAAUAGUAUUGAACCUUUCUGUAAGAAGACCCAUGAAGCUUUCUCAGUGGACUCAUCUCAUACUACCCCCAAAAAGUUAGUGUUGUACUACACAAAAAUCUCUGCAAUCUUAGUUUAUCUACCUGUUUCUGCAUUUGAUCAUUAUUUAGCUCAGUUACUAUCUGAUGUAGUGUUGUUGUUGCUGUCUAAUGUUAUCUUGAAUAUGGUUCAAGAAAUCUUGGUUGUUGGUGGUCUCAUUUUCUUGAUGUUGGUUAUAGUUGUGUAAGCUGUGAGCCAUACCUCCUAUGUUACAACCUUUAUAGUUAUGGGACCCCAUUGCUGCAUCACCAAAGAAGUCUCCUAGUUUUGGUGAUGAAGUUACCAUUCCUUCAAAAUAAAGACAAAAAAUAUUCAAUAAAUAAGUAAAAAAAGAUCCUCAUUUAAAGAAGCUAAAAACAAAACAAGUUGUGAGCAGAAACCUUAUGCUUGUAGUGACAUGUUGAAGCCUUGCAUAAUGCAUAAUUAACCAUCAGACUUGAGAGGCAUAGCAGAUAAAGAAGAGUAAAGGCUAGCAUUGUCACCUUCAAAGUACAUGCCUGGAUAGUUGAGAUGAGUUGGAGAAAAUCUAAUGGGAACUGAACUUUGAACAUCACUUGAACCAGGUUGAGUAUUGUGAUGUUAGUCAGGAAGAGACCUUUUUUAAAGAGAACUGAACUGAGAACAUCAAAUUCCAUCUUGUAUCUGUUGGAAUUAAUGAAUUCGAACCAUUCUUUGAGAGCAUUGGUCCGAAACCUUGUCUAGUGGUAAUUAGGUAAUGUAUAUUAUUGGGAGAAGGGAAAACCUUGUAUUUAAGGUGUAAACAAAGUAGAAAGACUCAUUUUAGGCUAUUGUACCCUCAACAAUUUCUCUAAAUUGAGAAGAAUUCUUAUUAUACUCCUGUUUUCCCCUGUUAUAGUAGUUUAUAGCCAAAGGCGGAUGCAGAGUGUGGAUAUGAGGGUCAUAUGAAUCAAGUAUUCUUCACUCGAAGUAUCCACUUAAAUUGGACCAACAAGUGGAUAUGAACCCAAAACUUUAAAAUGUAAUGAGUGUUCAAUGCUAAGAACAUUAAAUUUUGAAUCGAUAAAGCUUAAAUCUUGCUUAGCCUUGUGAAUCAAAUCUGCAAUAGAGUUGGCAUUGAUGAAUCGAUAACUUUAUAUGUGAAACUUGCAGUAUCUUUUCUCCGGAUAGUAUUUGUGUAUUUACCAAAUGGAACUAUGAAGUAUGGAUACUAAUUGAUGAUUAUCUACUUUAUUCUGCAGGUUACACAAAUCGUAGUGUCUGUCAAUUUCAAAUUGGCUGAUCGGUGGACAUGAUCUAUGGUCAAGUAAUAUAAUUAUGGAAAAAAAAACUAGGAACUAUAUUUCUUUUUCUCUUAGGAAAGUAUUUAAUUAUAUUGAAAUUUCUACCUCUGACCAAAAGUUGUAUUUUAUUGGCUAUCCAUUUUAUUGCUACUGUUGUGCUAAAAAAUGAUGUGUUCUCACAAGAUAAUCAAAAAAAGCUGCACAUCAAGUUAAUGAAAAUCUAAAGAAACGUGUAAUGAUAACAAAUGGAAUCAUGUCAAUUGUUACUCUAGUUUAGUUUCUUACUGGUGAUGUCUUGAAACUGAUUCAUGCUCAAGUGGAAUGAACAACACCUGAUUACUAUUUCUCGGACUAUUAACCAGCUAAAUAGUUUUUAUUGUACUUACCCUUUUUGGCGACUCACCGAUAUUGCUGAUAUGACAGUUCACUUCAAAAGGGUGUGGGCAGGUACUCGUUGUUUCUGAAUUUACGGGGAGUUAUAUGGAGAGUAGGUUUUUGGUCAUUCGGCUUUCUUCAUUUGUCUGAAAGGCAUAAGAAGACAACUAAUGAGCCUUCAAAGGCUCCUCCUCGUGCUGAUGUUGUGAAAAUCUUGAAAAAUGGGAUAGUCGUGAACCUUCUGAGAAUGGGUGCUGCUGUGCUUGGGAUGCACUAGGUCAGAUCUGUACUCGCCGAAGUAAAGGAAAGGUUUCAAUCACAUUCGAUGAAGUCAUACAGGUCUCAAUUUUAGAGAAAGUUAUGGGGAUUCCUUUGAUAUGCUGGAGAUUGCGCUAGUGGCCACUGGAAGUUGCACUCUUUAAAUAGUUUCAAGCACAAGUCCGAUAUAACUGAUUAUUGCUCCCAGAUGAUCCUUUAGCUUCAGGAUGUUUAUGAUCCCAAUAAGGCAAGCGUACAACUUCCGCAUCUCCAUUGUUGGCACAUUGUUACAAACACUGAUGCUAAACAUUUGGUUCUUCUUGUACUUGUUCUCCUCCAGAUAAAUGUCAAGAUUAAAAUUGUUUCUAGUAUACCGCAUGGAGCUGUGGCUGGUGAGGCAAAGAAGUUGCAAGCUAAUUGGGUUGUUUUGGACAAGUAAUUUAGAAGCUUCUUCAGAGUCUGAUACCUUUUGUUAACUUAAUUUUAUAAAAUUUUAAUUUGGAUUAUUAUAUUAAUGAAUGAUUUUGUUGUGAUGCGUGUAUAUAUAUAUAAUUGUAUUGAUACAAUUCUAUAUAAUUCUCUUUCUGUC